rnacentral:rRNA from 1 species
CCCUUAGAUGUCCGGGGCUGCACGCGCGCUACACUGAAGGAAUCAGCGUGCUAAAACCAUUGUCGAAAGGCAUUGGUAAACCCAUUAAAAUCCUACGUGAUUGGGAUCGGGAAUUGCAAUUAUUUCCCUUGAACGAGGAAUUCCCAGUAAGUGUGGGUCAUAAGCUCGCGUUGAUUACGUCCCUGCCCUUUGUACACACCGCCCGUCGCUGCCCGGGACUGAGCCGUUUCGAGAAAAGCGGGGACUGCUGCUGUCGGGGCUUUCGGGCCUUGGCUUCGGUGGAAACCGCUUUAAUCGCAGUGGCUUGAACCGGGCAAAAGUCGUANCA